rnacentral:sRNA from 1 species
UCCCUUGAGAAAUUUUCAGAUUAAUACUGCAAAUAAGAGAAUGAUGUCGAUCCCGGUUCGGACUGACCACAUCUUAGGACAAAAAGGAUGGUCAGAUAAUAAGAAUAGGCACGAGCAAAGCCGGAAGAAGGUAGAAGACUGAAGCCAGUUUAUCCCCUAUAACUAGGUCUGAAAGUCGCUGCAACUGGGUAAGGGCUUCUGACAGAAUAGGGCAUCACAAGCGACUGGUUUUCUUCCUCUUUAUAGCGACUCCUGGUGUUGGGGCGUGUUAUGUGACAAACGCAGUAGCCGGGGUGGGGCGCACAGGGGAGCCGCCCCAAGGACAGCGGAUGCCUUAGGCUCUGCUGCCAUCUGGUGGCCGAUGCACUGUAUACCUUCCUCUGGGAACAGCGUGAAGAAAAUCGGAAAACAAGGAUUGUCUUAGGACCCAAGAACCGAACUACACAAGAGAAUGAGUCCUCGCAACCACCGUGUCCCAGACUUCAUGGAAAGCUUCAUAUCUCAAUCCAGAUUCCCAUCGGGCAACGGGAACUCAGCAGAUAGACUUACGCCUUUAGUUGAUUCUUCCGUAACCUGCUAAUGAUCUUCCCUCAUUUGCUGAGCUGCACAAACCUCCCCCAGGUUCCCAAAUAUCUAGACAGCACUGGGUCUUUAAGAAAUGACAUUAACCAAGCCAAGUACAGCAAUGCCUGCCUGUAACUCCACCACUUGGACGCUGGAGGACAGUGAGUUCAAAGCCAGUCUGGAUUGCAUACAGCUGGAUGAGCUAAAAUCUUACCCCUUAGACUAUAGCAGGAGCUCCCAUCUGGUAGUUGGAACCUGGCAAUGACUUUAUUUAUUUUGUUCCUGUUACCUGGGACUGGAUUGGCGUAGCCGGUGCUUUGUCUUCAAUCUACAUUGACAAAUGGGACGUGCAGAGAAGUCACCUGACUUUCCAGUGUUUCCCAGCUCCACUGCUCGCUUCUCCAAAGGGCAUGGCUCCGCCCCACCACAGCCAACACCAACAUGACUUGUUUCGGAAAAAUAAAGACGCAAAUAAGCGUGCCACUUGCUUCUGAAGAGUCCUGAGCCUCCAUUCAUCUGCAUGGUGGGGUCUUUGACUCCCCACAACAGUGAAAGGGGGCCUCCUCAGAACUCUCGAUGGCCACACUUUCUCUCUAACUUCCAAACAUUACCUCACCAACACAUCCACCUCAUCACUCUAUCCCAGGGUGUCCCUUGUAAGACCCUAAAACGUUGCCAAUAAUCGUUUCAGUGCCUUCCCUUAUAUAAUGCUUAUGGUUUGAACGAGGACAUGGAGUCAUGUGUUUACACAACUGGUCCCCAACUCAAGCCAUUCUUUGGAUAGGGUUAUGAAACCUUUAGGAGGUAGAGCCUCCUUAAAGGAAGCAGGUCACUGGAGAGGAAGCCCUGAGAUUCGAGAGCCCGCCUCUACUUCCUGUUCACCCUCUACCUCCUGGCUGUGGAUGUGACGGGGCCAGCUGACUCACGUUCCUGCUUCUGCUCUUUCCCACCAUGAUAUGCUGUGUCUGCUGAAACUGUGAUACGACAACACUCUUCAUUCCUUAAAUUGCUUUUUUUUAAAGGUACUUUUGUCAUGACAAUAAAAGUAGCUGGUGUCAUUGCUGGUACUCGGUCUAUGAGGUGGGGCUACCUUAUAGCUUUGAUUGAUCAGAAGAUUAUAUCAACAGUCUCUUCUAAAGGUUCCCAUGCACCAGGUGUGUGUCCUGAUAUAUAGGCACAAUCUCUCCAGGUCUCUUGAGCAACUAAGACUUCAUACAUGCCUGUGCCACCGAACA